rnacentral:rRNA from 1 species
GACGAACGCUGGCGGCGUGCUUAACACAUGCAAGUCGAACGGUAAGGCUCCAGCUUGCUGGGGUACACGAGUGGCGAACGGGUGAGUAACACGUGGGUGACCUGCCCUGCACUUCGGGAUAAGCCUGGGAAACUGGGUCUAAUACCGGAUAGGACCGCACCGUGAGGGUGUGGUGGAAAGUUUUUUCGGUGUGGGAUGGGCCCGCGGCCUAUCAGCUUGUUGGUGGGGUAAUGGCCUACCAAGGCGGCGACGGGUAGCCGGCCUGAGAGGGUGGACGGCCACAUUGGGACUGAGACACGGCCCAGACUCCUACGGGAGGCAGCAGUGGGGAAUAUUGCACAAUGGGCGGAAGCCUGAUGCAGCGACGCCGCGUGGGGGAUGACGGCCUUCGGGUUGUAAACUCCUUUCACCAUCGACGAAGGGUUUCUGACGGUAGAUGGAGAAGAAGCACCGGCUAACUACGUGCCAGCAGCCGCGGUAAUACGUAGGGUGCGAGCGUUGUCCGGAAUUACUGGGCGUAAAGAGCUCGUAGGUGGUUUGUCGCGUCGUCUGUGAAAUUCCGGGGCUUAACUCCGGGCGUGCAGGCGAUACGGGCAUAACUUGAGUACUGUAGGGGAGACUGGAAUUCCUGGUGUAGCGGUGAAAUGCGCAGAUAUCAGGAGGAACACCGGUGGCGAAGGCGGGUCUCUGGGCAGUAACUGACGCUGAGGAGCGAAAGCAUGGGGAGCGAACAGGAUUAGAUACCCUGGUAGUCCAUGCCGUAAACGGUGGGCGCUAGGUGUGGGUUUCCUUCCACGGGAUCCGUGCCGUAGCUAACGCAUUAAGCGCCCCGCCUGGGGAGUACGGCCGCAAGGCUAAAACUCAAAGGAAUUGACGGGGGCCCGCACAAGCGGCGGAGCAUGUGGAUUAAUUCGAUGCAACGCGAAGAACCUUACCUGGGCUUGACAUAUACAGGAUCGCGCCAGAGAUGGUGUUUCCCUUGUGGCUUGUAUACAGGUGGUGCAUGGUUGUCAUCAGCUCGUGUCGUGAGAUGUUGGGUUAAGUCCCGCAACGAGCGCAACCCUUGUCUUAUGUUGCCAGCACGUUGUGGUGGGGACUCGUAAGAAACUGCCGGGGUUAACUCGGAGGAAGGUGGGGAUGACGUCAAAUCAUCAUGCCCCUUAUGCCCAGGGCUUCACACAUGCUACAAUGGUCGGUACAGUGGGUUGCCAGUCCGUGAGGGCGAGCUAAUCCCGCAAAGCCGGUCUCAGUUCGGAUCGGGGUCUGCAACUCGACCCCGUGAAGUCGGAGUCGCUAGUAAUCGCAGAUCAGCAACGCUGCGGUGAAUACGUUCCCGGGCCU